GGGAAGUCCGGGCCAGCGGCGGCGGUAAUAGGUGGGGUGCGAUCGUUAAUCGGAAUUACUGGGCGUCAAGCGGGCGCAGGCGGUUUUGUAAGACAGACGUGAAAUCCCCGGGCUUAACCUGGGAACUGCGUUUGUGACUGCAAGACUAGAGUACGGCAGAGGGGGGUGGAAUUCCACGUGUAGCAGUGAAAUGCGUAGAGAUGUGGAGGAACACCAAUGGCGAAGGCAGCCCCCUGGGUCGAUACUGACGCUCAUGCACGAAAGCGUGGGUAGCAAACAGGAUUAGAUACCCCUGUAGUC
rnacentral:rRNA from 1 species